UACGGGGGGGGCAAGCGUUGUUCGGAAUUACUGGGCGUAAAGGGCGCGUAGGCGGUUCGCUAAGUCGGAUGUGAAAACUCUGGGCUCAACCCAGAGCCUGCAUCCGAAACUGGCGGGCUAGAGUUCUGGAGGGGGUAGCGGAAUUCCUGGUGUAGCGGUGAAAUGCGUAGAGAUCAGGAGGAACACCCGUGGCGAAGGCGGCCCUCUGGCUCGACCCUGACGCUGAGGCGCGAAAGCGUGGGGAGCGAACAGG
rnacentral:rRNA from 1 species